rnacentral:lncRNA from 1 species
GCUGAGGUGGGAGAAUCACGUAAGCCCAGGAGUUCAAGAUGAGCCUGGGUAAUAGAGCAAGACCCUGUCUCAAAAUACAUAAACAAACUUAGUUUUUCCUUUCAUUUAUUUGUGUUCUCUAUUUCAACUGCAUUCCCUUUUUUUUCUUUUUGUUGUGUUAACUCUAUCUUUUACAUUGAAGGUUUUCUUCAAAUAUCUGGAGACCUUUGACUAUUGAUUUAUAUUUAAGGAGACACUAAAACCUGACUAGAAGCUCUCUACCCAUGGUGCAGUUUAUCUAUUGGUGGGCUUCGUUGGGAUUGAUUUGAUAGUGAAAUGAUUCGAGGAGGGGGGACUAAUGUAUGUCAGUAUCUAUAGAUCUAUUCUCUGGGGUCAUUAAAUAUCUUCAGAAAAGGAUUUUACAAACUUUUGACUCAGGAAUAUAAAUUGGCUGCAGGCUGUAUAGGAGCUGGGUCAGAAAGGAGGAUGAAUAUGGUGUUUCUGCCAAUAUUCAAACUUAAAGAUUCUCUUCUACUUUGAAGCCUUGUUCCCACUCUUCAUCAUGCAUCUUGUCUCUAAGUCCAGACCCUUCCAGUUCAAAUAAUUCCCAACUAAGUCUUCCUUCCUUCUUUGAAGGUGGAGGUGGAGCAGUGGUAUGGUUACAUACAGUGAAGUAGAAUGUUGGAUACCUCUCUGUUCCUUACACAGACUUUCAACCAAACCAUCUUUUUGCAACCUCUUACUAACUCCCAAUUUUUGUAGUACCUGGUGCUGCUUACUCCUGAGCUCUGCCAUUUGGUACAUCAUCUUCUUUCUCAUUGAUAUCUCAUCUGCAGACAACUAGGUUUUAACCUAGUUAAUUACCUAUUGCUUACUGCCAAAUCCUGUUCACUUUCUGACCUCUUAUAUGAUAACUUGGGUUUGGCAAUGUAUUCCACCAUGUUGCAUUUAAUCUAAGAAACCACCUAUUAUAAAAUAAAAUAUCAUCAAAUAUACCACAAAAAAAUGACAAAAUGGUGACCAUGUGACUAUAAUGAUUGUGGCAUUUUGUUUUGUUUUGUUUUC